rnacentral:rRNA from 1 species
UACGUAGGGUGCGAGCGUUGUCCGGAAUUAUUGGGCGUAAAGGGCUCGUAGGCGGUUUGUCGCGUCGGGAGUGAAAACUCAGGGCUUAACCCUGAGCCUGCUUCCGAUACGGGCAGACUAGAGGUAUGGCAGGGAGAACGGAAUUCCUGGUGUAGCGGUGAAAUGCGCAGAUAUCAGGAGGAACACCGGUGGCGAAGGCGGUUCUCUGGGCAUGUCCUGACGCUGAGGAGCGAAAGUGUGGGGAGCGAACAGG